rnacentral:rRNA from 1 species
CCUACGGGAGGCAGCAGUGAGGAAUAUUGGGCAAUGGGCGCGAGCCUGAACCAGCCAAGUAGCGUGAAGGAUGACUGCCCUACGGGUUGUAAACUUCGUUUAUAAAGGAGUAAAGUGAGGCACGUGUGCCUGUUUGUAUGUACUUUAUGAAUAAGGAUCGGCUAACUCCGUGCCAGCAGCCGCGGUAAUACGGAGGAUCCGAGCGUUAUCCGGAUUUAUUGGGUUUAAAGGGAGCGUAGAUGGGUUGUUAAGUCAGUUGUGAAAGGUUGCGGCUCAACCGUAAAAUUGCAAUGGAUACUGGCAGCCUUGAGUACAGUUGAGGUAGGCGGAAUUCGUGGUGUAGCGGUGAAAUGCGUAGAUAUCAGGAAGAACUCCGAUGGCGAAGGCAGCUUACUAAACUGCCACUGACAUUGAUGAACGAAAGUGAGGGUAGCAAACAGGAUUAGAUACCCUGGUAGUC